rnacentral:rRNA from 1 species
CCCUUAGAUGUUCUGGGCCGCACGCGCGCUACACUGAUGCAUUCAACAAGUUUUACCUUGGCCGAGAGGCCUGGGAAAUCUUUCAAAUAUGUAUCGUGAUAGGGAUAGAUUAUUGCAAUUAUUAAUCUUGAACGAGGAAUUCCUAGUAAAUGCAGAUCAUCAUUCUGCGUUGAUUACGUCCCUGCCCUUUAUACACACCGCCCGUCGCACCUACCGAUUGAAUGAUCCGGUGAAGCCUCGGGAUUGUGCCCAGAGAACUUUAUUGUGAUUUGGGUGUGAGAACUUGUCUAAACCUUAUCAUUUAGAGGAAGGUGAAGUCGUAACA